rnacentral:rRNA from 1 species
AAGCACCCCGCCUGGGGAGUACGGUCGCAAGACUAAAACUCAAAGGAAUGGACGGGGGCCCGCACAAGCGGCGGAGCAUGCGGAUUAAUUCGAUGCAACGCGAAGAACCUUACCAAGGCUUGACAUAUAGAGGAAACGUGCAGAAAUGUACGCCCCGCAAGGUCUCUAUACAGGUGGUGCAUGGUUGUCGUCAGCUCGUGUCGUGAGAUGUUGGGUUAAGUCCCGCAACAAGCGCAACCCUCGUCCUAUGUUGCCAGCACGUAAUGGUGGGAACUCAUGGGAGACUGCCGGGGUCAACUCGGAGGAAGGUGGGGAUGACGUCAAAUCAUCAUGCCCCUUAUGUCUUGGGCUUCACGCAUGCUGCAAUGGCCGGUACAGAGGGCUGCAAUACCGCAAGGUGGAGCGAAUCCCAAAAAGCCGGUCUCAGUUCGGAUUGGGGUCUGCAACUCGACCCCAUGAAGUCGGAGUCGCUAGUAAUCGCAGAUCAGCAACGCUGCGGUGAAUACGUUCCCGGGCAUUGUACACACCGCCCGUCAAGUCACGAAAGUCGGUAACACCCGAAGCCGGUGGCCUAACCGUAAGGAAG